GUUAGGGUUAGCAUGAGAAUGGGCUUUGGGCCUCCUUUUAAUUUAAUUAACUGAUGGGCCUUUAUUUUAAAUUGAUUGACUGUUUUAAAAUAAAAUGUUUGGGCCUUAUUUAAAGAAAAAUAGGAUGGACUUAAUUUAUUUAAUUAACUUGGGCAUAUAUCUAUUUAAAUUAUUUGAGCUUUUAUUUAAUAACUUAAAUUGAGCUUGAUUAAUUUAAUUACAUAUGAGCCUUUAAAUUAAUUAUUUAAAUGGAGUCUUUUAUUUGAUUAUUUAUAAAUGAACUUUUAAAAUAAAAUAUUUUGAGUUAAACUCUUAUUUAAAGAAUUCUUUUCAAAUGUCUUAUUAAUAUGGUUUAUAAAAAAGGGAUUAAAUUGUUUUAAGUAUGAGAAAGCAUGAUUUAUGAUGAUAUAAUUUGUCUAUGUGAUAUGUUUUAUGUUUUGUAGUUAAAUGACGGAAUGUUUGACUUGAUGGCGUGAGUAGAACGAGUUAUGAUUGAUGUGCAUGAUGAUGUUCGAAUAAAUAGUUUCGAACCUAAAUGUUAGUUAUGUGAUAACUGUUUUGAGUUAAGGUUUUGAUGCUAGAACCCUAAAAUCAUUAAAAAUGAGAUAGCUUAGUUUAGAGAUCAAUCUUCCUUUCUUUCACGACUUCUUCUCGAACUUAUCGAUUCUUCGUCAAUAAAGGUCCAGGCGGGAAGUGAUAGCUAAAGAGGGAAGUAACUCUACGCCCGUUGUGGGAACGAAUAAGAAGCAAAAAAAUGAGUAGCUGUGGCACUUUCUCCCUCUCUCUGAAUCCAUUAAUUAUUCACAAAGGCAACCACCCUUCAAAGUUAACCAUUAGCAGACCAUCAUCACCGCCCGCUAAAAUCUGUUGCUCCCAGAAUCAACAACAGCCUAAUCUCUCAGUUCUUCUCUUCACUCUUGGAAUACCUGGAUUGGACGAAUCUUACUUGCCCAGAUACAUAGGAUAUGGAUUUGGGGCGCUCUUAGUGUUAAAUCAUUUUCUGGGCUCCGAUUCUUCAUCCAUCACUCCAGCUCAGCUCAGGACGGAGGCAUUAGGACUUUCUCUUGCAUCGUUUUCUGCAGUUGUGCCGUAUCUUGGAAAAUUUCUCAAGGGGGCUACUCCAACUACUCAAAAAAACAUCCCUGAAGGUGUUGAGCAAAUCUUUGUCAUGUCACAGGAUAUUGCUGCUGACUUGAAGGAAGAUUUGGCUUGGGGAACAUACGUCUUGUUGCGUAAUACAAACUCAAUAUCAGUGCUCAUUUCCGUUGAAGAUGCUAUAUGUGUGCGUGGCUAUUGGAGUAUGCCUAAGGAUUUAUCAAAAGAUAGCAUUCCUGAUUGGUUCCGGAAGCAGACACAAAGGAUUGGGUUGUCCGAGUUGAAGGAUGCCAUGUAUCUCCAACAGUCUGCAGAUUCGGAAUUGAAGGAGAUGGUUCCCGUGGGGACUAGGUCUCUCCUUGUCCAACCUAUUCGAGAAGCUUGUGAAUUAAGCUCCAGUCAAACAGGGACGAGGAAGGGUUUCAUCCUGUUGGCUUCUGGAAUCGACUAUGCAUUUACUGAUAAAGACAAAGCAUGGAUAGCUUCCAUUGCCAACAAAUUUAGUGAAAACGUGGAAUGUGUUCCGUGAGAGACAGAAAUCAAGAUUCAGGCACAAUAUGAAGUCCAUUGAUGCUUGGUUUCUACAACACCUUCUCCAAACCAUACACCAGAUUCUGCAUAAACACAGUAGAUUGAAGGACUCACUAGCAUACCUCGCCUAGCCGGGAAAAGUAGGCUGUUGUACUCAAUGGAAGGCCUGGAAGAACCAAACUAUGCACCUGCACUCCAUCUUCUCCCAGAACUUGACCCCUCGCCUAGAAUAUUUGUUUGAGAAUGUAUGUAAGUUCUUAUCCUUUACCAGUUGAAUGACAUGAUCAUACUUAAAAGACUAGGUUUACAUUUCUUCUAACCAGAAUGUCGGUUGACACAUCCUAUCUAUUGUACAUAUGCCUGAGGUUAGUGAUAUUAUUUGCUAUUUGUAUUGCCUCAUGCGACGGUAAGUCCUGUUCCAUGAAAAUAAAGUGAAUGUUUAGGA